UAGCAACCUGUAGAAAUGUUUAAGACAUUUUAAAAGUCCCUGAAAAAAAGAAAUAAAAUCCAAGCACAUUAUAAAUGUUAUUGAUACAACGUAUAGAAGGAACUGCAGUGUUUUUUUGUGUUCAGUAGUCUUUUGGGCGGGGCUAAGACGGUGGUGACUUUUCCCAAAACAAGGUUCGCCUUUUUCCCCCACAGGUUAUACUGUUACUACGCAUGCGCAAGGGUUCUGGUCUGUGCGCGACCGUCAGUGGAACAGCUAGCUAGCAAAACAACCCAGCCCGCCAGAACGGAAGUGGAUUGCAUAAAUGGGCGGAGUUUAGGAUGUAGAGCGGAAACGGCUCAUAAACUUGUCCAUAGGCCCACAUUUUUCCUGGCCGAUGAUUGGCUUUCCCGCGGGAGGGGCGGGACAUGAAGCAGAUGAUUGGCUUUCCCGCGGGAGGGGCGGGACAUGAAGUAGAUGAUUGGCUUUCCAGCGGGAGGGGCGGGACAUGUGCAUACAGUUGCCAUCUUUACCGUUACGUAUUUUUCUUAAAAACACGUGUUGAAGUGGCGUGUCUCCUACUUGGUUCAACUUGAAGUUGCUACAGCCUGGAGACUGAAGUCAACGUCGAGUAACACCGUUUAGAUAUCUUGACCAGAGCAUUACCGGUUAUCUUCACCCAAGAGACCUACUGUUGGACAUUCUUUUUGGAUUUAAAGAACAAGGUUUCUCACCAGUGGUCCAGUCUCCACUUCUAAGAGCCAAGAGUUUGAGUAAAACUGGAGGAGAACCAAGCCUGCUGGAGGGGAAGCAAUGCACGAGCAGCUUGAUAACUGCAGCUCACUUCAAGAUCAGUUGAAGCAAGUUGGGACAAUGAUGAAGACCUUUGCUCGCACAAGGCAAUCAGGUACGACUUGCAAACUCCUGUGUUUGUUUGAUUAAUUCCCACUGGGGCCACCUAUACAUGUUGUAUACCAAGAUGUAAAUAUCAUAGUUUAGUAGUUGAGGGACCAGGACUGACUAUGUUCUUUUAUUUUGGGAAUCCCUUUAGGCGCAGAUCAGA